UACGGAGGAUGCGAGCGUUAUCCGGAUUUAUUGGGUUUAAAGGGUGCGCAGGCGGCGAGUUAAGUCAGCGGUAAAAUUUCGGGGCUCAACCCCGACAAGCCGUUGAAACUGGCUUGCUAGAGUGGGCGAGAAGUAUGCGGAAUGCGUGGUGUAGCGGUGAAAUGCAUAGAUAUCACGCAGAACUCCGAUUGCGAAGGCAGCAUACCGGCGCUCAACUGACGCUCAGGCACGAAAGCGUGGGUAGUCG
rnacentral:rRNA from 1 species